rnacentral:rRNA from 1 species
UACGGAGGGUGCAAGCGUUAUCCGGAUUCACUGGGUUUAAAGGGCGCGUAGGUGGCCCGGUCAGUUCGUGGUGAAAGCGCGGGGCUCAACCCUGCGUCGGCCAUGAAUACUGCCGCGCUGGAGCACUGUAGAGGCAGGCGGAAUUCCGGGUGUAGCGGUGGAAUGCGUAGAGAUCCGGAAGAACACCGGUGGCGAAGGCGGCCUGCUGGGCAGUUGCUGACACUGAGGCGCGACAGCGUGGGGAGCAAACAGG